GGUUAAGCGACUAAGCGUACACGGUGGAUGCCUAGGCAGUCAGAGGCGAUGAAGGGCGUGCUAAUCUGCGAAAAGCGUCGGUAAGCUGAUAUGAAGCGUUAUAACCGACGAUACCCGAAUGGGGAAACCCAGUGCAAUACGUUGCACUAUCGUUAGAUGAAUACAUAGUCUAACGAGGCGAACCGGGGGAACUGAAACAUCUAAGUACCCCGAGGAAAAGAAAUCAACCGAGAUUCCCCCAGUAGCGGCGAGCGAACGGGGAGGAGCCCAGAGUCUGAAUCAGUUUGUGUGUUAGUGGAAGCGUCUGGAAAGUCGCACGGUACAGGGUGAUAGUCCCGUACACCAAAAUGCACAGGCUGUGAACUCGAUGAGUAGGGCGGGACACGUGACAUCCUGUCUGAAUAUGGGGGGACCAUCCUCCAAGGCUAAAUACUCCUGACUGACCGAUAGUGAACCAGUACCGUGAGGGAAAGGCGAAAAGAACCCCGGCGAGGGGAGUGAAAUAGAACCUGAAACCGUGUACGUACAAGCAGUGGGAGCACCUUCGUGGUGUGACUGCGUACCUUUUGUAUAAUGGGUCAGCGACUUAUAUUUUGUAGCAAGGUUAACCGAAUAGGGGAGCCGUAGGGAAACCGAGUCUUAACUGGGCGUCUAGUUGCAAGGUAUAGACCCGAAACCCGGUGAUCUAGCCAUGGGCAGGUUGAAGGUUGGGUAACACUAACUGGAGGACCGAACCGACUAAUGUUGAAAAAUUAGCGGAUGACUUGUGGCUGGGGGUGAAAGGCCAAUCAAACCGGGAGAUAGCUGGUUCUCCCCGAAAGCUAUUUAGGUAGCGCCUCGUGAACUCAUCUUCGGGGGUAGAGCACUGUUUCGGCUAGGGGGCCAUCCCGGCUUACCAAACCGAUGCAAACUCCGAAUACCGAAGAAUGUUAUCACGGGAGACACACGGCGGGUGCUAACGUCCGUCGUGAAGAGGGAAACAACCCAGACCGCCAGCUAAGGUCCCAAAGUCAUGGUUAAGUGGGAAACGAUGUGGGAAGGCACAGACAGCCAGGAUGUUGGCUUAGAAGCAGCCAUCAUUUAAAGAAAGCGUAAUAGCUCACUGGUCGAGUCGGCCUGCGCGGAAGAUGUAACGGGGCUAAACCAUGCACCGAAGCUGCGGCAGCGACACUUAGGUGUUGUUGGGUAGGGGAGCGUUCUGUAAGCCGUUGAAGGUGACCUGUGAGGGUUGCUGGAGGUAUCAGAAGUGCGAAUGCUGACAUAAGUAACGAUAAUGCGGGUGAAAAACCCGCACGCCGGAAGACCAAGGGUUCCUGUCCAACGUUAAUCGGGGCAGGGUGAGUCGACCCCUAAGGCGAGGCUGAAAAGCGUAGUCGAUGGGAAACAGGUUAAUAUUCCUGUACUUGGUGUUACUGCGAAGGGGGGACGGAGAAGGCUAGGCUGGCCGGGCGACGGUUGUCCCGGUUUAAGCGUGUAGGGGGAGUGACCAGGUAAAUCCGGUUGCUUAUCAACCCUGAGGCGUGAUGACGAUGCACCACGGUGCAGAAGCAGUUGAUGCCAUGCUUCCAGGAAAAGCCUCUAAGCAUCAGGUAACAUUAAAUCGUACCCCAAACCGACACAGGUGGUCAGGUAGAGAAUACUCAGGCGCUUGAGAGAACUCGGGUGAAGGAACUAGGCAAAAUGGUGCCGUAACUUCGGGAGAAGGCACGCUGGCGUUAGGUGAAAGGACUAGCUCCUGGAGCUGAAGCCAGUCGCAGAUACCAGCUGGCUGCAACUGUUUAAUAAAAACACAGCACUGUGCAAACACGAAAGUGGACGUAUACGGUGUGACGCCUGCCCGGUGCUGGAAGGUUAAUUGAUGGGGUCAGCCGCAAGGGGAAGCUCUUGAUCGAAGCCCCAGUAAACGGCGGCCGUAACUAUAACGGUCCUAAGGUAGCGAAAUUCCUUGUCGGGUAAGUUCCGACCUGCACGAAUGGCGUAAUGAUGGCCAGGCUGUCUCCACCCGAGACUCAGUGAAAUUGAACUCGCUGUGAAGAUGCAGUGUACCCGCGGCAAGACGGAAAGACCCCGUGAACCUUUACUAUAGCUUGACACUGAACAUUGAGCCUUGAUGUGUAGGAUAGGUGGGAGGCCUUGAAGUGUGGACGCCAGUCUGCAUGGAGCCAACCUUGAAAUACCACCCUUUAAUGUUUGAUGUUCUAACUCGGCCCCAUGAUCUGGGGUGAGGACAGUGUCUGGUGGGUAGUUUGACUGGGGCGGUCUCCUCCCAAAGAGUAACGGAGGAGCACGAAGGUUAGCUAAUCACGGUCGGACAUCGUGAGGUUAGUGCAAAGGCAUAAGCUAGCUUGACUGCGAGAGUGACGGCUCGAGCAGGUACGAAAGUAGGUCUUAGUGAUCCGGUGGUUCUGAAUGGAAGGGCCAUCGCUCAACGGAUAAAAGGUACUCCGGGGAUAACAGGCUGAUACCGCCCAAGAGUUCAUAUCGACGGCGGUGUUUGGCACCUCGAUGUCGGCUCAUCACAUCCUGGGGCUGAAGUAGGUCCCAAGGGUAUGGCUGUUCGCCAUUUAAAGUGGUACGCGAGCUGGGUUUAGAACGUCGUGAGACAGUUCGGUCCCUAUCUGCCGUGGGCGUUGGAAGAUUGAGAGGGGCUGCUCCUAGUACGAGAGGACCGGAGUGGACGAAUCACUGGUGUUCGGGUUGUCAUGCCAAUGGCAUUGCCCGGUAGCUAAAUUCGGAAGAGAUAACCGCGGAAAGCAUCUAAGCGGGAAACUUGCCUCGAGAUGAGUCUUCCCUGGGGCUUAAAGCCCCCUGAAGGAACGUUAAAGACUAUGACGUUGAUAGGCUGGGUGUGUAAGUGCAGCGAUGUAUUGAGCUAACCAGUACUAAUGAUCCGUGAGGCUUAACCUU
rnacentral:rRNA from 1 species